AUGCUCACUUCGGCAACACAUAUACUAAAAUUGAAAUGAUACAGAGAAGGUUAGCAUGGCCCCUGCGCAAGGAUGACACGCAAAUUUGUGAAGCAUGCCAUAUUUUU
rnacentral:snRNA from 1 species